rnacentral:rRNA from 1 species
CUCCGGAGGCUUCGCGAAAGUAAACGUCGGCGCGCGAGUCGAUACGAUGGCAAACCCUAGGAGGUGGAGGACGCCCUCUGUCGACGAUUCCUCCCCGCCGAUUUAUGCCUAGGUGCCCGCCAGUAGCCCGUCCGAUCGUAUCCGUCCGAUUUUUAUGGCGCGAAACGAGAUAGACGGCGGGCACAUUGAGCGUACGGGCUAGUACCCGAAAGAUGGUGAUCUAUGCUUGUUUAGGACGAAGCCGGGGGAAACGCCGGUGGAGGUCCGUUGCGAUUCUGACGUGCAAAUCGAUCGUCGGAGCUGAGUAUAGGGGCGAAAGACCAAUCGAACCGUCUAGUAGCUGGUUCCUUUCGAAGUUUCUCUCAGGAUAGCCGGGGUCCGUUCGAAACCGAUCAGUUUCGUUCCGGUAAAGAGAAUGAUUAGAGGUCGCCGCGGGGAUGCAUCAACUUCCUCAGCCCAAUCUCAAACUCUAAAUGGGCGACAGCUCAGGAUGUAUUUGCCUUAUUUAACGGCGCGGGCUCGCUCGCGUCCGUAAAAAGUCGAACCCACAGGCAGGUGUCGAGUCGUCUCGACUCGAUACGAGCUCGAGCGGCGUCCUCCGCGACGUCGCCGAGCCUAGAAUUAGGGCCCCGAGUGGGCCACUUUUGGUAAGCAGAAUUGGCGAUGUGGGACGAACCAAACGUCGGGU